AAUAGAUACCCGGGUAGUCCAUGCCGUAAACGAUGUCUACUAGCCGUUGGGGCCCUUGAGGCUUUAGUGGCGCAGCUAACGCGAUAAGUAGACCGCCUGGGGAGUACGGUCGCAAGACUAAAACUCAAAUGAAUUGACGGGGGCCCGCACAAGCGGUGGAGCAUGUGGUUUAAUUCGAUGCAACGCGAAGAACCUUACCUGGCCUUGACAUACAGAGAACUUUCCAGAGAUGGAUUGGUGCCUUCGGGAACUCUGAUACAGGUGCUGCAUGGCUGUCGUCAGCUCGUGUCGUGAGAUGUUGGGUUAAGUCCCGCAACGAGCGCAACCCUUUUCCUAUUUGCCAGCACUUCGGGUGGGAACUUUAAGGAUACUGCCAGUGACAAACUGGAGGAAGGCGGGGACGACGUCAAGUCAUCAUGGCCCUUAGGCCAGGGCUACACACGUGCUACAAUGGUCGGUACAAAGGGUUGCUACUGCGCGAGCAGAUGCUAAUCUCAAAAAGCCGAUCGUAGUCCGGAUCGCAGU
rnacentral:rRNA from 1 species